rnacentral:rRNA from 1 species
GAUGAACGCUGGCGGCGUGCCUAAUACAUGCAAGUCGAGCGAACAGACGAGGAGCUUGCUCCUCUGACGUUAGCGGCGGACGGGUGAGUAACACGUGGAUAACCUACCUAUAAGACUGGGAUAACUUCGGGAAACCGGAGCUCAUACCGGAUAACAUGUUGAACCGCAUGGUUCAACAGUGAAAGACGGUCUUGCUGUCACUUAUAGAUGGAUCCGCGCCGCAUUAGCUAGUUGGUAAGGUAACGGCUUACCAAGGCAACGAUGCGUAGCCGACCUGAGAGGGUGAUCGGCCACACUGGAACUGAGACACGGUCCAGACUCCUACGGGAGGCAGCAGUAGGGAAUCUUCCGCAAUGGGCGAAAGCCUGACGGAGCAACGCCGCGUGAGUGAAGAAGGUCUUCGGAUCGUAAAACUCUGUUAUUAGGGAAGAACAAAUGUGUAAGUAACUAUGCACGUCUUGACGGUACCUAAUCAGAAAGCCACGGCUAACUACGUG